rnacentral:rRNA from 1 species
GAUGAACGCUGGCGGCGUGCCUAAUACAUGCAAGUCGAGCGAACAGACGAGGAGCUUGCUCCUCUGACGUUAGCGGCGGACGGGUGAUUAACACGUGGAUAACCUACCUAUAAGACUGGGAUAACUUCGGGAAGCCGGAGCUAAUACUGGAUAAUAUAUUGAACCGCAUGGUUCAAUAGUGAAAGACGGUUUUGCUGUCACUUAUAGAUUGAUCCGCGCCGCAUUAGCUAGUUGGUAAGGUAACGGCUUACCAAGGCAACGAUGCGUAGCCGACCUGAGAGGGUGAUCGGCCAAACUGGAACUGAGACACGGUCCAGACUCCUACGGGAGGCAGCAGUAGGGAAUCUUCCGCAAUGGGCGAAAGCCUGACGGAGCAACGCCGCGUGAGUGAUGAAGGUCUUCGGAUCGUAAAACUCUGUUAUUAGGGAAGAACAAAUGUGUAAGUAACUAUGCACGUCUUGACGGUACCUAAUCAGAAAGCCACGGCUAACUACGUG